UGGGGAAUCUUGGACAAUGGGCGCAAGCCUGAUCCAGCCAUGCCGCGUGAGUGAUGAAGGCCCUAGGGUUGUAAAACUCUUUCGUGGGGGACGAUAAUGACGGUACCCCAAGAAGAAGCUCCGGCUAACUUCGUGCCAGCAGCCGCGGUAAUACAGAGGGUGCGAGCGUUAAUCGGAAUUACUGGGCGUAAAGGGCGCGUAGGCGGCAAUUCAAGUCAUCUGUGAAAUCUCCGGGCUUAACUCGGAACGGUCAGAUGAUACUGCUUUGCUAGAGUGCAGAAGGGGCAAUCGGAAUUCUUGGUGUAGCGGUGAAAUGCGUAGAUAUCAAGAGGAACACCUGAGGUGAAGACGGGUUGCUGGGCUGACACUGACGCUGAGGCGCGAAAGCCAGGGGAGCAAACGGGAUUAGAUACCCGAGUAGUCCCUGAGCGGGCUGGCAAGGCGCAU
rnacentral:rRNA from 1 species